ACCAACAUAAGUGAUAUCGCUUCACAAAGCAUGCUGUAAAAUGUCAACAAAGCAAGCUCUACCGUCGGCAGUCAGUCAAAUUUUCACUUCAUUCGCUCGCAUCGAAAAACGAUGAUUUUGUAAAUAAAAUUAGUUUAAUUGCUUUCAGAAACAAAAGUAAGUUUUUAGGAAGUGAGUGAAAUAUGAAAACAGUGUUUCCGACAUGGUAUUGGGAGAAAAUCUGCUGUAGAGAGACAAAUAUCGAGAAGGAUGCUAUGGAGCCGCAAAAUACUUCGUUGAUACCUACGAGGAAUCGGCAUUGUAAAUAAAAUUGCGCAGAUUCAACAUCGUACCCGGGUAAUCGAUGUCUUUCCAAUAAGACGUCAGGCUGCCCUGCGGAUCCAAUUGCAGAUCCAAACUAUUAAGAUCGUGCCUAUUAUUGUCCAAAAUAGGUUGGAUUCUAGAUGAGUAUGCCUGUUGAGGUACCGUCAAAAAUCAACCAGGAGCAGGAAGCAGGGGAAAUGAAACCGCGCUGGCAAAUUUUGCUUUAGAACAAAACUGUCAGGAUCAUGCUUCCACUAACUAUUUGAUGGAGUCCGCUACAAGAGCAAUCUGGCAGAAUGGGAUUACCGGAAGUAGUGGCGAUGCAAUGGUAACAUGCGAGAAGUCUAACAACAUCUUAUGGCCUUG